rnacentral:misc_RNA from 1 species
GGAGGGAUCAUUAACGCGUUUUACACGUUAACCCCAGUUGAAUUUGUUUUUACAUACAAGUGGUCGAGUCAUGGAUAAGAGUGCAAGAGAUGUGGUGGAAAAAGCUCGCUUUUUCUGUCUUGCAUUCCUGCUUGAGAUUCGUCUCGGGCGCUGACUUGAUCAUUCACCAUCCUAAACCUUAUUAACCCCCUCGUAUUUACUUUGUACUAAUCUCUUCUUUUGAUUGCGAAAGCUUUCAGAGAAAAAUUUUUCUAAUGCGAACAACUCUUAGCAACGGAUAUCUAGGCUCUCGUAUCGAUGAAGAACGCAGCGAAAUGCGAUACGUAAUGCGACUUGCGGAUUUCGUGAAACAUCAAAAUUUUGAACGCAUCUUGCGCUUCAGGGUAACCUGGAGCAUGCCUCUCUGAGUAUCGUUACAACCAACCUCGGCUGCGACCUUCUAGGAGGAAGCUGAGCCGGAUAGUGAGAGUCUGACUGAGCAAUCGGUGAGUCUCUUUAAGUACUACAUGGCUGUUGUUGCGUCUUUAAGACUGUUCAACUGGCUGAUGCUUGAUAAUUGGCCUUUAUGGUCAUUCUCUGCAUCUGGCUUGGAGCUUUUUUAUACGAUGUGUAUCAAUAACCAACCAAAAAGGAAAACACUUUUAUCAUACGCGAUCUCAGAUGAAGCAAGAUUACCCGCCGAAUUUAAGCAUAUAAUUAAGCGGAGGAAAAGAAACUAACAAGGAUUCCCCUAGUAGCGGCGAGCGAACCGGGAGAAGCUCAAUGUUAAAAUCGUGCUUGGUCUCCAAGUACGAGUUGUAACCUCGAGACGGAACCCUAGAAAUGACGCCGGUAAAAGUUCUCUUGGAACAGGACAUCAUAGAGGGUGACAAUCCCGUAUAUGACUGGCAGUUCGUUUCGUACAGGGCCCGCUCAAAGAGUCGUGUACCUUGGGAAUGGUGCACUAAAUGGGUGGUAUGUUUCAUCUAAAGCUAAAUACCGACGAGAGACCGAUAGCGAACAAGUACCGUGAGGGAAAGAUGAAAAGAACUUUGAAAAGAGUUUGUUAAAUAGUACUUGAAAUUGUUAAGAGGUAAGCACUGGAAACCAGUAAUGCCUGUCAACCUCUCGUCCGCGAAGUAAGCUGUCUGCCAUCCUGAGCCUCAAAAACCAGGGGAAGCGGCCAGUCAGAUCGUUGACUACCGGGUAGCAGGUGAGUCAGGAUCAAGUCGAUGCGCAGUAGAAAGCGGCUGCCGGGAGCUCACGAAAGUGAGCCGUCAGACAGUUGUGAAUGCUCGUGUGUUGGCUUGAGGUAUUGUUAUGCCCUUCGUCUCUUAAGUUCCUGGCAUUUUGGUGGAGAAGCAGACGAACUGCCAUUCAUCAGAGUGUUACUGGGCGAUUGAGUUCUUGGGUGUACGAGAUCCUGACGAAAUGGUUUCUGUUGACCCGUCUUGAAACACGGACCAAGGAGUCUAGCAUAUAUGCGAGUAUUUGGGUGCAAAAACCCUGAUGCGCAAUGAAAGUGAAAGGUAGGAAUCCUCUGUAAAAAGGGGGAGGCACUAUCGACCGAUCGACUGCUUGCAGAAGAUUUGAGUAGGAGCAUAUCUGCUGGGACCCGAAAGAUGGUGAACUAUGCCUGAACAGGGUGAAGCCAGGGGAAACUCUGGUGGAGGCUCGUAGCGAUACUGACGUGCAAAUCGUUCGUCUGAUUUGGGUAUAGGGGCGAAAGACUAAUCGAACCAUCUAGUUGCUGGUUCACGC